rnacentral:rRNA from 1 species
GAUGAACGCUGGCGGCGUGCCUAAUACAUGCAAGUCGAGCGAACAGACGAGGAGCUUGCUCCUCUGACGUUAGCGGCGGACGGGAGAGUAACACGUGGAUAACCUACCUAUAAGACUGGGAUAACAACGGGAAACCGGGGCUAAUACCGGAUAAUAUAUUGAACCGCAUGGUUCAAUAGUUAAAGACGGUUUUGCUGUCAGUAAUAGAUGGAUCCGCGCCGCAUUAGCUAGUUGGUAAGGUAACGGCUUACCAAGGCAACGAUGCGUAGCCGACCUGAGAGGGUCGUCGCCCAGCCUGGCAGUGAGACUGGGCCCAGACUCCUACGGGGGGAAGCAGUAGAGAAUCUUCCGCGAUGCGGGAGAGCCUGACGGAGCAACGCCGGGUGAGUGAUGAAGGUGUUCGGAUCGUAAAACUCUGUUAUUAGUGAAGAACAAAUGUGUAAGUAACUAUGAACGUCUUGACGGUACCGAAUCAGAAAGCCACGGCUAACUACGUG